UCUAAAACCCAGAGAUCAAUCAACAUAUUCGUAUAAAAAGCAUCUAUCUUUAAUCAAUAUAUUCCAUCCCAAAUUCAAUUAAAAAUCACCAUAUAGUCAGUACCGAUGAUGAAUGAUAGUGUAACGUCUAACCUUCCACUACUAAUGGGUCAUACAUGCCCGUUCAUUCGAUACAAGGAAAAAAGAGAGAGAGGAGGAGAGUUAGGCAAAACAGGCGAGCAUCGUACGUCCACGAUAUCCGUGGUGCUUGUUCACAUUAUUUGCUCGGAAUAUAAUGGUGACACGUUUCAGAUAAUGAUUGAGACUCUCUGAUGUGAAAAAGGGAAAGAGAAACAGAAAGCUUUAAACGGUGAGAGUGAGGUGCCUAACGAGCACUAUUCAUUAUAUAACAGAAAUGGUAACAAGACAGCGAAGUGUUUGGCAGAAAAUGCUAUUCCUAUUCUACAAGUCCUUCUCAACAAUAAAGCCUUUGUCAUCACUAUUCCUUCCUUUUUGGUGUGGUUUUAUAUUGCGUGCAGUUGCAUCUAAUUUCUAAUGUUAGGCUGCUUAUUUAAUCAUAUGAGGUGGUAGAGUUAGAGCUUCUUAUCGCAGCUAAGGGACUUUAUAAAAAACAAACACAAAAUUUUAGUA